GAGGCUCAGUCUGGCUUUUGCUUGAGCUAGGGGAAAAGGUGACCACUCUGUAAAGCAGCAUAUUGCCAGAAAGCCAUUUAUCAGUCUGAAAAAGGAGACUUAAUAUCAAGUUUAAAUCUCAUUUUCAUCAGCCUCACUUCAAAAUCACACCGUAUAUUAGACUAGUAAAGGCGAAUUUUCCUAACAAGAAAGCGAGGACGGAGGGAGCUGGCCAGAGCUUUCCCAGAGACACUGGCAGAGUCCUUCCUUCCCUGCUCCUUGCAUUCAACCUGGCAGAAAAACCCCAAACACCUUAACACUGACUGCACGUGCUCCCUCCUUUCCUGGAAGCGUUGCUUUGUCCCGUGGAAACCUGAAUGCGUACAAAACUAUGCAAGGAGUCCUCACCAGCUCUCGUUGUGAGCGUUGUAAGGGAUGCCAGAUGAUUAUCGGAGGCCUUCCCACCGAACCCACAGCUUCAGGGGGACGCAUGGAGGCUGGCAAGGUAGGGAAAUCCUGUGGCCAAAAGCUUUUGGAGCGAGCAGUUUCUCCUCCCACUUGCAGAGACCACACUUAGAUUUUUGUGGUGUCAUAAAUAUGCUCUUCAGUGUGCGCACUAAUAGGUCUCUGGAACACAUCUGGGUUUGGUGGCUCCGGACCCCGAGGCGUGUGCAUGACGGCGAGGGCAGCUUUCAUCGGAGAAUCUGAGUGUUUUACCAACUCAGAGAGCCAGGGGUAAACACACAAACUUACCCCAAGUCCGGCUUCCCUCAGCGAUGUCACGGAGCCAAGCCGUUAAGGAGCACAGAAAACUGGGCACCUAGCUCCCUUUGCAAAUCUUCAUCUCAAGCCUGCGUUCAAGUCCCUGGGCUCACAACAUUUCCAACUUCUUAUCUGACCGCCAUGAUCUUUCUUCUGGUUUCUUAUUCACUGAAGAAUUCACGUCCUUUGUUCUAAUCUGAUAUGGUAAUAUGCAUGAGUUGAUUUCUUUUUUGGUCUGUGUU